UGGGGAAUUUUGGACAAUGGGGGAAACCCUGAUCCAGCCAUCCCGCGUGUGCGAUGAAGGCCUUCGGGUUGUAAAGCACUUUUGGCAGGAAAGAAACGUCAUGGGUUAAUACCCCGUGAAACUGACGGGACCUGCAGAAUAAGCACCGGCUAACUACGUGCCAGCAGCCGCGGUAAUACGUAGGGUGCAAGCGUUAAUCGGAAUUACUGGGCGUAAAGCGUGCGCAGGCGGUUCGGAAAGAAAGAUGUGAAAUCCCAGAGCUCAACUUUGGAACUGCAUUUUGAACUACCGGACUAGAGUGUGUCAGAGGGAGGUGGAAUUCCGCGUGUAGCAGUGAAAUGCGUAGAUAUGCGGUGGAACACCGAUGGCGAAGGCAGCCUCCUGGCAUAACACUGACGCUCAUGCACGAAAGCGUGGGGAGCAAACAGG
rnacentral:rRNA from 1 species